CAGCAGCCACGGUAAUACGAAGGGGGCUAGCGUUAAUCGGAUUUACUGGGCGUAAAGCGUGCGCAGGCGGCCCGUUAAGACAGGUGUGAAAUCCCUGGGCUCAACCUAGGAAUUGCGCUUGUGACUGGCGGGCUCGAGUACGGUAGAGGGGGGUGGAAUUCCUGGUGUAGCAGUGAAAUGCGUAGAGAUCAGGAGGAACACCGAUGGCGAAGGCAGCCCCCUGGGCCUGUACUGACGCUCAUGCACGAAAGCGUGGGGAGCAAACAGGAUUAGAUACCCGAGUAGUCCCUGUCUCUUAUAC
rnacentral:rRNA from 1 species